ensembl:lncRNA
GUGGUAAGUUUCAUAAAAAGGUACGUAGUGACUUUUUUACUCAGACAUAUUUGGAGAGCUACAUGUCUAUUAUUAUUUUUUUUAGGUGGCUGUGAGCCCAUAAUCAGUGUGACAGGAGGACAAAGUGUUUGCUCCGGUCAGGACUUUACCCUCACAUGUCAGUUGGAUUGUGAUGGACCAUCAAGCCAUGUAAAACUGGUGAAAGAUGAACAAAUUCAGUAUAGUCUUGAGUCUUUGCAUAACAAUCUCUCCUUACACGUUCACAGUGCAAAUAAGAGUCAUUCAGGAAUAUAUAGCUGCCAAACAGAGAAAGGUUCAAAAAGCAGGCUUCAAGUGAAAGUGGAAGACUGUAGUUUUUCUUCAACUUAUAUAUCAGAAUACUUACCCAUUGUAAAUACAACAUCAUCCUCUCUGACUAAUACCACAUACCAAGGCCACUCACCAUCAAGGGUCUUGGAGCCAGUGCUGAUAUGGUACUUGCUGUUCAAGACAGGGGUUUUCCUCAUCAUAUCAAUAACUGCAGCACUGAUAAUUGUGUGCCAGGAGCACUGAAAAAGACCUGAAUUUCUGUCAUGUAAAUUAAAAACUAUAUGCUUCUAAUAAAUCAUGUUCUGCAUGUAUCUUCUCUUGCA